GGAAGGAGAGAUUUUGAUACUGAGAGAGAAAAUGGAAAAUAAGAGGAGAUCAAAGACACUCUUGCUUAAAUUUUUACGCUAAAGCCCUUCGUUUUUCAGGAUGUCAAUCCACCAUCCAUGCACUUUCUAGUGUAGGAAUUUGACGUCAGCCAAUAAGGAGCUUCUUACUGCUAUUUAAGCCCCUCUCUCCAUUACUUUGAUUUGGUUUUUGUACCCAAUACUGCAUUUAUAAAUACUCCUAUUCAUUUUUGGUAUUGAAC